rnacentral:rRNA from 1 species
CCUACGGGAGGCAGCAGUAGGGAAUUUUCGUCAAUGGGCGCAAGCCUGAACGAGCGAUGCCGCGUGAGUGAAGAAGGCCUUCGGGUCGUAAAGCUCUGUUGUGGGGGAAAAAAGGCAGCAUCAGGAAAUGGGUGCUGACUGAUGGUUCCCUGCCAGAAAGUCACGGCUAACUACGUGCCAGCAGCCGCGGUAAUACGUCGGUGGCGAGCGUUAGCCGGAAUGGUUGGGCGUAAAGGGUGCGCAGGCUGCCCUGUAAGUCUGUAGCGAAACGCAUGAGUUCAACUCAGGAAUGGCUUUGGAAACUGGAGGACUGGAGAGAAGGAGAGGGCGGUGGAACUCCAAGUGUAGCGGUAAAAUGCGUAGAUAUAUGGAAGAACACCAGUGGCGAAGGCGGCCGCCUGGCCUGUUGCUGACGCUGAGGCACGAAAGCGUGGGGAGCAAAUAGGAUUAGAUACCCGAGUAGUC